UCUGUUCCCUCAUUGUUUGCUAAGGUUAAUGACUUUCAGGUUCAUUCAUGUCUCUGCAAAGGACAUGAUUUUGUUUUUUUAUGGCUGGAACUUCCCCAACCUAGCUAGAGAGGCCAACAUUCAAAUUCAGGAAAUGUAGAGAACCCCAAUAAGAUACUUCACAAGAAUAUUAUCCCCAAGACACACAAUCAUCAGCUUCCCCAAGGUCAAAAUGAAAGAAAAAAUGUUAAAACAACAACAACAACAACUAGAGAGAAAGAUCAGGUCACCUACAAAGGGAAGUCCAUCAGACUAACAGCAGACCUCUCAGCUAAAACCCUAUAAGCAGAAGAGAUUGGAGGCCAAUAUUCAAUAUUCAUAAAGAAAAGAAAUUCCAACUCAGAGUUUCAUAAUUGGCCAAA
rnacentral:lncRNA from 1 species